AGUGAACGCUGGCGGUAGGCCUAACACAUGCAAGUCGAACGGCAGCACAGAGGAGCUUGCUCCUUGGGUGGCGAGUGGCGGACGGGUGAGGAAUACAUCGGAAUCUACUCUGUCGUGGGGGAUAACGUAGGGAAACUUACGCUAAUACCGAAUACGACCUACGGGUGAAAGCAGGGGAUCUUCGGACCUUGCGCGAUUGAAUGAGCCGAUGUCGGAUUAGCUAGUUGGCGGGGUAAAGGCCCACCAAGGCGACGAUCCGUAGCUGGUCUGAGAGGAUGAUCAGCCACACUGGAACUGAGACACGGCCCAGACUCCUACGGGAGGCAGCAGUGGGGAAUAUUGGACAAUGGGCGCAAGCCUGAUCCAGCCAUACCGCGUGGGUGAAGAAGGCCUUCGGGUUGUAAAGCCCUUUUGUUGGGAAAGAAAUCCAACUGGUUAAUACCCGGGUGGGAUGACGGUACCCAAAGAAUAAGCACCGGCUAACUUCGUGCCAGCCGCCGCGGUAA
rnacentral:rRNA from 1 species